AUAAAAGCAAACUAUGAGUAUAAUUUAAAGCAUGUUCAUACAGGGAAGAUACACACAGGUAAUAUGUACUUACAAUCCAACAUUUUACGCACAACUAGUGAGAAAGAUAGCAAAAUAGGAUUUUGAUGAUACAAACAGAAACUUCUGUGAUGAAUUUAUUUUCCCAGAAUGGACUUAAUCCACCAUAUGCCUUUUGUAUCUUUGGGACCUUCUCCUUCUGGUGGAGGAUCAUUCUGUGGUGUCUUGUGUAGUUUGCUUACAUCAUAACCCUCCUCCUUGGCCUUUUCAAGCAGCUGAUUGUAUAUCUCCUCGUUAAGGUGAGUAUUUCUGCUCAAUAUCCAAAGAUUCUUCCUUGAAGGCUCCCCAACCAAGACAUACUGGUAAUCUUGAUCAAUAUACAAAACCCAGUAAUUGCCAACCACUGGAAUGAUUGGAAGAAAAGGAGGCAAAUAAAAUUUGACCUUGAACUUGGCCUCUUGGCUUGAAGGCUCAGCCUUGUAAGCCACACCUUCUAUGGAACUUCUCUUGCCAUCACUCCAAGUUUCAUUCACCACAUUCACAGUUCCAUCUUCCUUGAGUGUAUAAGUAGCUCUUGUGUUUACACCAUUCUUGGGUUGAUUUCUUGAGGGAAUUGAAGCUAUCUCAUACCAUCUUCCCAUGUACUUCUCAAGAUCCAACCCUUUUACAACUUCCAUCUCUUUCUUUGCCAUUGUUUCAAUUCAG
rnacentral:misc_RNA from 1 species